rnacentral:rRNA from 1 species
UACGUAGGGCGCAAGCGUUGUCCGGAAGUAUUGGGCGUAAAGAGCUCGUAGGCGGCUUGUCGCGUCGAUUGUGAAAGCCCGGGGCUUAACCCCGGGUCUGCAUUCGAUACGGGCAGACUGGAGUGUGGUAGGGGAGAUCGGAAUUCCUGGUGUAGCGGUGAAAUGCGCAGAUAUCAGGAGGAACACCGGUGGCGAAGGCGGAUCUCUGGGCCAUUACUGACGCUGAGGAGCGAAAGCGUGGGGAGCGAACAGG